rnacentral:piRNA from 1 species
UCUGAGGUGUGAAUAGAUAUGUUUUUUC